rnacentral:rRNA from 1 species
CCCUACGGGGGGCAGCAGUGGGGAAUAUUGCACAAUGGGGGAAACCCUGAUGCAGCAACGCCGCGUGAGUGAAGAAGUAUUUCGGUAUGUAAAGCUCUAUCAACAGGGAAGAAGAUGACGGUACCUGAUUAAGAAGCCCCGGCUAACUACGUGCCAGCAGCCGCGGUAAUACGUAGGGGGCAAGCGUUAUCCGGAUUUACUGGGUGUAAAGGGAGCGUAGGCGGCCUGGCAAGCCUGAUGUGAAAUACCGGGGCCCAACCCCGGGGCUGCAUUGGGAACUGCCAGGCUGG